UUAGAUAGAAGGUGUUUGUUGAGGAUGAAAAGUGACAGGAUAGCCAUAGCCUCGAGAGCUGUUGUCCUAACAUCUUCUCUUUGUGUGAAGCAGGUCAAGUGUGCACCUGGGGAGACAGGCUUGUGCAUCAUUGCUGUGAGGACUGCUCCAGGUAUCAUUGUUAACAUUCCAAAGAGUUCUUUCAUAGACCUGAUAAAAUGCCUCUCUUCUCAUCAAGAAUCAAAGUCAUUUUCAUCAUUGUCUUGACAUUUCCUCUUUAUUCUGAAACUCUCUUCAUAAAAUCAGCAAUUUACAGGUAUCCGACGAUCUGUAAUUUGUAUAAUCAGUUUUUAAACAUUUGCACCAAAGAAUAUAUUCCAGUCUGUGGAACAGAUGGCCACACUUAUUGCAACAAAUGCAUUUUCUGCAUGGCCUACAAGUAAGAACAUAUGAAACAGUGGCCGCAAAUUUAGUUUGGCACAUUAUGGUAAAUGUUGAAUUUUUAGAAGAGCUACAUAGUCCCAUGGAUUUUAUUGUGAUCCCAAUUUUGCAGUGAAUUCUACAAGCAAUUUGAAUUUUUGCAAUUAGGAUCUUAUGCUCCUAGAAGAUCAGUUGAAUCUUCCUGUAGAACAACUGAUGGAAUACUGGACAUUCAACAUUUUUUCCAAUUCUAAGAUUCUGGGAUUUCAGAAUUUUAUCCUUUCUGUUCAACUAUUUAAAUAUUAAUUUUCAAGCUAAUAUUAUGUUUGAUAACUUGUAACCUAAUGUAAUUAACACCCUAUUUUGCUUAAUAAAAUAUUAAAUUAUC